ACAAGCCAGGGCUCCUAGGUUCAUCUUCUGCUCAUGUCGCGUUGAUGAGAACUCAGUCUCAUGGAACCAGCCUGAGUGCACUCUCAUUUGCCAGAAUAAAAGGAAACAAUGAACUUCAGAGCCAGAGCCCUACUUCCUGCAGCUCCCAGUGAUGGGUAUUCACUGAAAGGCACCAACAGACACCAGAUACCACGGUUGCUCUAGACACUGUAUCUCCGGGACUAGGGAAAGUUAAGAGGACCAGAUCUCAGUUUUCCCCAGGAAAGGCUGGCCGAGGCUCAACUCCAUCUUCGGAGGGACCCAAGAGACCCAGGCAGGGUCAGUAGCAGUGGAAACCUGUCUUGCUCACUGGCAGGCCAACCCCACCUUGGUUUGCACAGAGAUGCAUGAGCUGUGGCUCCAGGAAGGCUGCUGAAGAUGGCUGAGCCAGGACCCAGGGGCUUUUCCCAGCCUCGCUCAGGAGCUGAGAGGCUGAGGCCACACGCACUCUGAGAAAGAGCCCCCUCCUGAGGAGAUGCCUACAGCAGGGACCCUGGAGGAAGCCGAGGCCACACGCCACUCCAGAAACCAGCUCUACCAGGACACAGCAACCUGCAGAGUCUUAGCCAGGAGGCAAGAGGGCAGCUCAGGGCCCAGCUGUUGAUUCAAGGCAGAGGGAUUGGUGUGUCAGGCUUUUAUUCUGAUACUGGUGAGCCAAAGCUGCAAGUCAAGUCCGUGAGAGUAACGGAGAUGUUCUCUGGUCAGCUGGGCCCGGUCCUGUUUUUCCAUUCAGAAAUCCUUACUUGCUCCAGCCCCUGGGAACCCUGGGCUCUGCUUUUCUGUUAGGUCUGAAUGCUGCCCUCAUCCACCCCUGCUAUUUUUUAGGCCAUUUGCCCUACCUGUCUGAGACCAACACACACACGCACACACACGCACGCACACACACACACACACACUCUGCUCACCUACCUCCCAUUCUGCUAUUCUGAGCACUGCCCUACAGCUGACCACCCCCUCUGAGCCCACCACACUCUGGCCCUGUGCCAACCUUGGUUGUAUUAAGACAUCCUUCCAGCACAAGUUUCACAGAAGAAACACUGGGAUGCUGCUGUUUUUAGCCACAUCCAGGAGGGGAGAGGAGGAAAGCACGGGAAAUCGUAUUCCUGUAGAGACUGUAGAAGUCAUACCUGGGGCCAGCAGGAGACUGAGGAAGCUCCCAAAUGAACUGGGCACUGUUUCCCCUCGAGAAACUGCUGCUCUCUUGGCCUGAUGCACUUCUGCUAGACUCCUAACUCAGAAGGUUGCAGCCCCCAUUUUGACUAGUGAUCGGCUGGCAGGGACAGAAUGUAAAUUGACAACUCAUGUUAAAUGAAGUCACUUUCUCCUGCUCAGAGGCUCUGGAAAGUGUCACGGAAUAUCCGUGCAGGUGUUUUCUUUCCCUGAUUGAUAUUAGCAUCAUUUGUUUCCAGCAGGAAACAGAGAAAGAGCGACUGCAUCCCUGCCAGCCUGCUGCAGCUCAAGUCCACCUCCCUGUAUUCACAGCCCCAAGCUAAUCAGAUCAGAAGCCCCAGCCCAGCAUCCCUGGCAGGGAGAGGCAUCCGAUGGAGCUGCUCAUUAACAGUAGCUGCCUGCCUUCCCCUUAUUCUCCCCAGGACCCAGAAUCAGAGCCUUUGUUGUCCAGGGAAUUAGGAAUGAAGGUUUCUGCUGACCAAACCACAGGGGACCAGGCUAGGCUGAGAUUCACCUUCUGUGUUUCCGUGUGAUACAUUGCUGCGGGCAUGCACGCAUGCGCGCACACACACAUACACACACACAAACAAGCCUCCCUAAGCCUGGAUGCUCAGCAGCGCCAAAAAGUUUAUAUUAAGCCCCUAUUAUAUGCAGGCCACUGAAGUUGGUGUGCUCUAAAAGGCUUGAGUGAGAAUUCAAGCAACAAAAAGCAAACAAUCCCCCCAAGCACAGCCUCGCUAGGAAGAUGUUUAUAAAAUGCUAAACUGUAACACCAUGGACAGAAAACAGGCUUGGAAUUCCUGUUCUGCCUCCAUCCUUGUAGUGUGGGGCAAGAAGCCAGCGUGACAACCCACAGCGCUAACACUACGGUGCGAAGCACCCCCGUCUAGUAACCGAGGACCACCCGCCUGUUCACCCUCCUAUCUCCGUCUCAGCACUAGGUCAGGUAGGGAGAGCAGGAAGUGAAAUUACCAUUUUGUGGAUGGAAGUAGGAAGAUCAGUGAGGUGGGGUGAUUUAAGGUUUCCUAGCCAGUCAGUUCAGCUGGCCCCAUCUGCCAUCCCACAGCUGACCUGAGAAAUACCCUCAGGACUGUGGGGCCUCACAACUAUUCUCAGCUCAUCCUCAUGAGUGUUCCCCUAAAGUGGUCCCAGAACAUGGCUUGGAACCGAUUGGAGUGAGUGCUCUUUGGGCACCUUGACAUUUUUACCAAAUCAUCCCUGCUCAUCUCAAAAUGUUGCUUUCUGAGAUAGCUGGGUUGUAGCAGGCUCCACUUGACCUCCCUGGCCACAGACCUGUCCCGCCACACCAGGCCAGCCGCUGGGUUUUUUCUGCACUUGGCCCUUGUGAUCGCAGAGUACCUCAAGGUGCUAAGACUCCAGAGAUUGGCCACUGACAGCCUGCUGGGGCUUGGUGGGAAACCUCGUGGGCUCUGACAGCAAUCUAGAGGUCUCCAUCCCUCCCAUCAGAUGAAAUGCUGUACUCAAAGCCUCUCCCAACCCAGCACCUGCUUUGCCUGAGCUACAGUACAGUUUCCAAGGCUUUGUUGCUCACAUACAAGAAAUAUUUGCUCAUCGAAAAUCCUACAGAGCUUGACAGAGUCUGGAAGCGACGCGGUACUCUGUACCACACUGGAGAGCUGCUCUGCUCCUCUGAGCCACCUGCUUGCCCUUCUCAGGUGCUAUUUUGAUUCAUAUUGUCAUUUUGAAAAAAAAACCUAGGCUACCAAAAAUGAUAAAACCUACAGCUCCCAAUCCUACCACCUCCUAGUCCUCAACCUAGCCCUCUUCUCCCAGCCCUGCCAGAACAGCAUGGAAAAGCCUGUGCUUCUGGAAUGGAGGACAGGGGUCACCUCUUUUCUGUCCCCAGAAUUGUCCCUUCAGGAGGAAGACCCUGCCAGAAGGCUCCCUGCUUUGGGAGGCUUUCAUAGAUCAAUAGGCCAUGCUGUGGCCACUUUAUUGUACCAAAGUGCUCUCGGAUGUAUGGUGGUCAAAAAAGAGAGAGGUGGAUAGGGCGGGGACUUCAAGAGCCCAUUAAUUACAGGGAAAUGCUGGCUGAUCAGUCAUAGGGACCACUGAGGGCCAGGAACUGACUCCAGGGAGUGAGAGCUGUCUGCCUCCUUUGUGGUUCACUGCUCUCCUGGAGAAAAGGAUGUUUCCAGUUUCAGUCCAGUGAAUGAGUCUGUGUGUACUGGCAGGACUCGCGGGUGGUCAGAGUUUGCCUGAGGAGCUAGGGAGGUUUGUCAGUCUGGUCUGACCAGGCCUUCAUAGCUAGAGGUAGAAGGAGAACAGGGCUCCAGGACCCCAUCACAACAGAGCCAGAGAACCACAACAUGCAGUGGACAGAAAUGAAGCCUGUGGCCUUCUGGCUCCAUCUCUAAAAUGCUGAGCAGCCAAGUACAUUAAAGGGAGAGAGAAGGACACUGUCAAGGGUGAAAGGAAGGAGCAUUCCGAGUCACACUGGUCUUCCUGGGUAGCCAGUAGGCUGUUCUGCUGUCCUUUAAAAAAAUUUCUCCCCAAGGUAAACCACUGCUUUACUGCUUCCAGAUUUGGCUCAAAUAAACACACACACACACACACACACACACACAUGUUUACAUGCAUAUGCUUGAAUCAGAACUCCCAAUUUUGUGUGUUCAGAGUGAUGACUUGUGGCUUGGCAGAACUGAGGAUAAGCUAGGGUAGGCAGGACUGUGAGCUGGGCAUGGCACCCCAGUGAAAUGUCACCCUCACCAAUCAUAGCAGGCAAGAUUACAACUGCCAAACCUGGCCAGGGUGGACACAGCCACACCACACUGUGGCCUUUGUCCUCCCUAAACCCUUCCUCACACUCAGCAGUCAGCCUGGGGUCCCACUUCACUGGGACCAUCCAAGCCAUCACCUCAGCUGCUCAUCCCUGAGCAGCAACCCUUUCCAUCCAGCCCUGUCCCUUCCUGUCACCAGGUUGUGGGACCUGUGCCAGUAGGAGAGGCCAGUUCUUCCCAUUAUGCUCAAGACCCCAUCCUUCCCACUUCUCCAAGGCCUUAAUAUCAUCAUUGCCUUGACCUCUGUCUUCUGGACCUUAAAGUUCUCUACCCUCUUACAUCUGUCUUAU